rnacentral:lncRNA from 1 species
UGAAGGAGAAAAUGGUGACGAAAGCCAAAUGGUUUACCAAGGCCUAGCUAAAGAAGCAUCCCCAACAGGCCUAGCUAAGGAGGCAUUUCUAACUAGCCUUGUGUCCAAAAUCCUUCUUUUUAUUUUCCCCAGGAAAGAAGAAGGAUGGCUAUUCUGGCAGAUUCUUGCUGCAGGGUCUUGGAUCAGAGGCCUCAGGACCUUAACGCCGUUCAGAAUGGCAGUGAACAGCCCUAGAGUGAUCAUCCUUUCAAAGAAAUUCUUGUUUACCAUGAAGGUCCUGAGUGAGAGGAUGAAGUGAGGCUGUAAAUACCAGGAAAGGGAUGACAGUAUUUCUUCAGUCUCCUGCAGAGCAUGAGCAGCUGCCAGCCAGUGGCCAGAACUCUGAUCCACAGAGAAGAAAACAAGAAAUCCAGGCUUUUAGGCCCAUCUCCAUAUUUACUGUCUCCAGGUUACAAUCUGCAGUAGUUCUCCAUGCCCUGGUUCAAUAACUCUGUCUCAUACAUCAUUUGUGUCUAAAAUCUCUUAAGUAAUAUCAGCUAUUGAGCAUUCCAGCUGCACUAAUAAAUUCCCCACGUACAUUCCUGUGUGUGCCGCU